ensembl:lncRNA
ACUCAAUGUUACAUGUGGACAGGUGAUUAAAAGCUAGUGUCUUAAGUCCUCCACCUUAAUCCCGCUCUCUCAUUUACUGCAGUGCAGUAGAGCUUGCCUAUUCACCAGGAUCUGUCAUCUUUAGGAAAUCAGACCAGCUUAUAGAGGCGAUUCACAAAACCAACAGUGACAACAAAGUCUUAUGUUCCUUACAAAGGAAGGAUUAGGCAGUUCACAUGUCAUUUUGAUUGGACAGAGAUAAAAGCUGAUUGCUGCAGCAUGGCAAGACACACUUCAAUUUCAAUUGAUUAUUCUAUAAGACAACUAUAACUCUGUUGCUUAGUCAUUGUUAAACACAAUUUGAAGGAAAAUUCAGUUUUGACCUUAGUGGUUCUGUAUUACUUGAUACUACAAUGUGGAGCCACUUGUAGCAUUGUUAUACAAAAUUUUAAAGACACUGUUCCCUUGGGAAAUAUAAUUAAAAUAUAAGAAUGUUCAAAAACAUUUUUGCCUACAUGAUAUCUCAAAGUAUCAACUAAAAUUUCUUAAAAGUGCCUGGGAUGAUACUGAAUUCGUAGCACUUGUCCUGUUAAGAGUUUAUGUGCAAAGGAGAGUACUGUGCGGAUUUAUCAGAAAGUAUAAUACUGAGGAACAAACAAGUUACAAAGAACUACUGAUACUGGACUUGGAUUCCAACCUGACAGGUCUUUUUCUACUCUUAUUUCCUGAAUAUAUAAUGCAUUCAAUGAAGUUUAUCAUGAAAAUUAUUAUUAACCGUGUACCAGUGCAGGGGUUCGCCUUAAAUAUUGCUGUCUUUUCUGUGUAAUCUUAUUAAUCAGAAGAUGUGCACAUAAAUGAAUAGAACUAGAAAUCAUCAUUUGUAUUUGCUUUUAUAGAUACAGGGAUCGUGUCAUUUGUGGAGCCCAUGCCCAGUUACAUUUUACUGUUUACUUUUAAGUAAUCAAUCAAUAGCUGCUAGCAAAAUCUGUACAAAGGACAUGAGGAUUGUGAAAUUGUUUAUAAUACAAAUCUACAAAAGUAAACAUAAUGUAGAAUGUCUACCUGAAACAUUACUUUUAUAACUAAGAAGGAACAUAGUAACAUGUGUCAUGCAUUUGAUUUCUAAUAAAUUCUUCCCCCUACUGACAAAUACAUUGCUGUAUGACAUUGUAUUCAAAAUGAUAGAGUGCUAUUUUAAUCCAAAUAAUUUAGUUACUGAAGGAUCAUUGUAGAAAUUAAAAUGUUCUCAAAUGUACCCACCCGUGUAAGAGGCUAGAGGAGGGUACUUUUCAUUUGUAAAAUCCAUGUGGAUUCAUCAGUGGAGAUGAUUUAAAAACAUUUGGGGAGGGGUUUGGUUCCCUAAAUAUUGUGGCAGGGGGAAGGGUGAGGGGGAACUUUUAAUGAAACAACAGGACACUGAGGUUCUGUGGCCUUUCCAUAGAGCUGGCCCCUGCAUCCCUUUCAUCCCUUUCAUUCUGGCAUUUUAUCUUUAAGCGUGCACUGCCAGGAGCUCCUCUCUGGUUGCAGUAAUCCUUGGGAAUAUCUGUGUGGUAAAAGUUAGUAGGACAUUUGGAAGAUAUUCUGUGAAACCCACAGGAGACACUAUGUUCCGCUCACUUUUGCUCAGACCUGUUUUAUCUCUGUCCAUCUGUGUCCUGAGUGUAACUUCUGUCUGUACGGAAUGUGAGAAGCGGGAGAAGCAGCAUAUAGGAGAAGGACAUUUGGGAAGAUGAGAAAGGAUGUGACUAUCGACUGUUUGGAAAAACGACAUGCAAAUAGAGGAGGGUGGACAAGCCAUAGUAAUUGUACUUAAAACCUUAAUCUUGGAGACUUUUUAAACAAAUUUCCUUUCGAACUGUAUAGAAUUUGGUUUGCUAAGAGUAACCUUUCAUUGUUACACACAGGGCAACAGUCUUAAAAUAAUUAAGAGUGCUUGUUUAAACGCAUUUUAUUACACGUGAAAGGAACCGAUCUUAGAAUCAGUGUAUGAUGAGAACCGUUCUGCUCUCAGAAUACUGAAGUGUUCUGUUUUUCUUUUAUUAUAUCUAGGUGUAUGGGGUGCUGAUAAGGAACUGAUGUAGCAGCAGAAUGAGAAAAAAACAGCUUAUUACCCCCACUGCAAUGUAUAAGUGUGAAACUGCAUGCUUACCCAAACUUCUACAUGUACUUUUUUUUUUUUUUUAAGGCUGAAAUAUUGAGACAGGGAAUGCAUCCUUGCAGUGGCAUGCAAAAUGUGUAACUUUAUCCAAAGCACACAUACAUAAAUUUUAAAGUUCAGAAAUCUUGCUUUAGAUGUUAGUAAGAGCUUAUAGACAGGUAGUCUUAUUUGAAACUAACUAGAAUAAGCAGAAUUUCACUGAAGUUCUCAGAAGACAUUAAAAAUUAUAACCUAAGCUUCUUAGCUUACUAGCAAUCUUAUUUAUGUGUGAUGUGUUGGUAGCAAUUGGAAAUAAUUUUAAAUUAUGCUCUAAAAUAUGUAUUAAUUGGAAAAUAAUAUUCCAUUUUUUUCUUAAAAGAAAACACAAUUGAAUAAUUUGCAAGCUACCUAAUUAAAGCAGAACUGCCUAUGAAUACAUAUGUAGAAAUGGAUGAUGUCUACCUCUGUCCUUGGUAGGUAGAAAUCUGUGUAUCUUCUCUGAGUAACAAUAAUCUAAUUCCAUCUAUGGAUCUGACACUUCUGUUUUUUAUAGUUGAUGCUGCAAUUAAAACAAUUACACGUAGGACAGAAACAGUAUUCUUUUACAUUUUCUACUGGCAUUCAAGUAGAAAGAUGUGCUUAUAUUUUCAUGAUUUUUCCAAAACUUGAUUUUAAUAAAGAUAAAUGAGGAUCUAUCUUAAGUACAAGUUCCUACAUCUCUGUUGAGGCAAUUACAUUUAGAUCAGUUAUGCUUUAAGUAGAUAUUUGUAACAAUCCCAAUAUUGUAUAUUUGUAGAUAAGAAAAAUAGUCCUCUUGGUGGCACCCUUUAUUGAUCGAGGAUAA